rnacentral:misc_RNA from 1 species
ACAGAAUUUCAAACAAAUAAAAUCUGUACCCAAGAAAGCAAGGCAUACUAUCUUACUACAGAGCUAAUCCCUUAUCAUUUCAGCCAUCUAGUCAUAUUUCUUUUUGAAGUUCCAAAAUUAUAUUUGUGGUAUUGCAGCAGAUCUAGUUGUCACCCUUAUGAUACCGACAAUGAUCUCAACUUGCAUGAUUACCAGUAAUACAGAAAUGAGAUAAUAAUGUAUCAUAAACACAUUUUCCCAUUCUAUGUAGUUCUA